rnacentral:rRNA from 1 species
UACGAGUGCCCCAAGCGUUAUCCGGAAUUAUUGGGCGUAAAGGGUGCGUAGGCGGCGCGGAAAGUUGGGUGUGAAAUCCCUCGGCUCAACCGAGGAACUGCGCUCAAUACUACCGUGCUCGAGGGAGACAGAGGUGAGCGGAACUUAGGGUGGAGCGGUGAAAUGCGUUGAUAUCCUAAGGAACACCCGUGGCGAAAGCGGCUCACUGGGUCUCUUCUGACGCUGAGGCACGAAAGCUAGGGUAGCGAACGGG